rfam:Populus trichocarpa scaffold_10_contig_234, whole genome shotgun sequence.
UAAUUUAUCUAGAAUAUAUCAUCAUCUAAUUAUAAUAUAUUCACAUUUAACUAUUCGGAAUCAUCAGUGAAAACUACCAUGCGAGCAAUAACUAUUUACGAUUUUAAU